rnacentral:rRNA from 1 species
ACACAUGCAAGUCGAGGGGAAACGACAUCGAAAGCUUGCUUUUGAUGGGCGUCGACCGGCGCACGGGUGAGUAACGCGUAUCCAACCUGCCCAUCACUUGGGGAUAACCUUGCGAAAGUAAGACUAAUACCCAAUGACGUCUCUAGAAGACAUCUGAAAGAGAUUAAAGAUUUAUCGGUGAUGGAUGGGGAUGCGUCUGAUUAGCUUGUUGGCGGGGUAACGGCCCACCAAGGCAACGAUCAGUAGGGGUUCUGAGAGGAAGGUCCCCCACAUUGGAACUGAGACACGGUCCAAACUCCUACGGGAGGCAGCAGUGAGGAAUAUUGGUCAAUGGGCGAGAGCCUGAACCAGCCAAGUAGCGUGCAGGAUGACGGCCCUAUGGGUUGUAAACUGCUUUUAUAAGGGAAUAAAGUGAGUCUCGUGAGACUUUUUGCAUGUACCUUAUGAAUAAGGACCGGCUAAUUCCGUGCCAGCAGCCGCGGUAAUACGGAAGGUCCGGGCGUUAUCCGGAUUUAUUGGGUUUAAAGGGAGCGUAGGCCGGAGAUUAAGCGUGUUGUGAAAUGUAGACGCUCAACGUCUGCACUGCAGCGCGAACUGGUUUCCUUGAGUACGCACAAAGUGGGCGGAAUUCGUGGUGUAGCGGUGAAAUGCUUAGAUAUCACGAAGAACUCCGAUUGCGAAGGCAGCUCACUGGAGCGCAACUGACGCUGAAGCUCGAAAGUGCGGGUAUCGAACAGGAUUAGAUACCCUGGUAGUCCGCACGGUAAACGAUGGAUGCCCGCUGUUGGUCUGAAUAGGUCAGCGGCCAAGCGAAAGCAUUAAGCAUCCCACCUGGGGAGUACGCCGGCAACGGUGCAACUCAAAUGAAUUGACGG